CCUACGGGAGGCAGCAGUAGGGAAUAUUGGUCAAUGGGUGCAAGCCUGAACCAGCCAUGCCGCGUGCAGGAAGAAGGCCCUAUGGGUUGUAAACUGCUUUUGCCAGGGGAUAAAAUGGGCGUGCGCGCCUAAUUGAAGGUACCUGGUGAAUAAGCCACGGCUAACUACGUGCCAGCAGCCGCGGUAAUACGUAGGUGGCAAGCGUUGUCCGGAUUUAUUGGGUUUAAAGGGUGCGUAGGCGGUCCUAUAAGUCAGUGCUGAAAUAUCCCGGCUUAACCGGGAGGGUGGCAUUGAUACUGCAGGACUUAAGUAAAGUUGAGGUUGGCGGAAUUGACGGUGUAGCGGUGAAAUGCUUAGAUAUCGUCAAGAACACCUAUUGCGAAGGCAGCUAACUAAGCUUUAACUGACGCUGAGGCACGAAAGUGUGGGGAUCAAACAGGAUUAGAUACCCUGGUAGUCCACACUGUAAACGUUGAUUACUCGCUGUUGGCGAUACACAGCCAGCGGCUUAGCGCAAGCGAUAAGUAAUCCACCUGGGGAGUACGCCGGCAACGGUGAAACUCAAAGGAAUUGACGG
rnacentral:rRNA from 1 species